UGCAGAGGCACGUCAAACAAACCGACGUGAGGAGUCUGGUUUUCAUCUCGGUUUUUCCUGUCAGAAGCUCAAACGGGAUGUCUCGCGAUGAGUUUGGGUCUGCGUAAAAAUGCAGUCGAGCA
rnacentral:misc_RNA from 1 species